rnacentral:rRNA from 1 species
GACAGAGGGUGCAAACGUUGCUCGGAAUCACUGGGCAUAAAGCGCACGUAGGCGGUCGUGCAAGUGCGGUGUGAAAUCCCCCGGCUCAACCGGGGAACUGCACCGCAUACAGCACGGCUAGAGCUUGGGAGGGGUGAGUGGAACUCCUGGUGGAGAGGUGGAAUGCGUAGAUAUCAGGAGGAACGCCGGAGGUGAAGAUGACUCUCUGGCCCAAUGCUGACGCUAAGGUGCGAAAGCUAAGGGAGCAAACGGG